GUGGGGGAUAACGCCGCGAAAGCGGCGCUAAUACCGCAUAUGCUCCGAGGAGGAAAGUGGGGGACCAGCAAUGGCCUCACGCUCUGGGAGCGGCCGAUGUCCGAUUAGCUAGUUGGUGAGGUAAAGGCUUACCAAGGCGACGAUCGGUAGCUGGUCUGAGAGGAUGAUCAGCCACACUGGGACUGAGACACGGCCCAGACUCCUACGGGAGGCAGCAGUGGGGAAUUUUGGACAAUGGGGGCAACCCUGAUCCAGCCAUGCCGCGUGCGGGAAGAAGGCCUUCGGGUUGUAAACCGCUUUUGGCCGGGAAGAAAAGGCUGAGGCUAAUACCUUCGGUUUUUGACGGUACCGGCAGAAUAAGCACCGGCUAACUACGUGCCAGCAGCCGCGGUAAUACGUAGGGUGCGAGCGUUAAUCGGAAUUACUGGGCGUAAAGCGUGCGUAGGUGGUUCGUUGUGUCUGUGGUGAAAGCCCCGGGCUUAACCUGGGAAUGGCCAUGGAAACUGGCGAGCUGGARUGUGGCARARGGGGGUGGAAUUCCG
rnacentral:rRNA from 1 species